AAAAAAAGCCAUAAUGUGUCAUUAGGAACCUUGGUGACAUGACAGCAAAACCAAAACGUACUUAUUUAUUAGGUGUCACUUGGAAGCGCAAUUUUCAACAACGCAAAACUAUAAAAAACAACCCAACGUCGGCCUCCACAGGCUAAUCAGUCUCCGAGGCACUGACGGCGGGAGAGAUGAAAACGCGAAGGCCAGAGGAGAAAAAGAGGAAGGAUUUGCAGAGAGAACGGUAACGUGGUGGACAUGAAUACACCCAAGAAACCCGGAUCCCGCGCGGCACAUUGGGACGAAGCGCGCUGGCGGGCGGCCAGUAACUCCGGGCCAGGGGAAGGAGGCGGACACCCAGCCCGAGAGCCGAAAUCGGCCCCGGUGGACGCUUUCAUCUUCGCGGCCCAGAAACACUCCUAUUUUUCACCGCACAAUGCAAACAUGGUGGACCAGAAAAUCCGCCCCGCGUUUGCCGGUCGAACCACGUGGGGCCCUUUCCGCGCCGUCGAUGCCUAGCCAGGGCGGGGCCCUCACAGAAUUUGUUCACGGUGGGGGCAGAUCACCGGAGAACUUCUCCAGAGCGCUACGGCACGGUUCCUUCUACACACUGGCAGAACUGCCAUUGCCAUCGCCCCGAGGCGGCAGAAUGGUACGCUCUGAAAACUGAAUGGUUCUAACGUAAGCAAGAAAAACGGUGCGCGCUGCAGCUCUUUACCUGGAACAGCCUCUGGUCUGUCUACCUCGCCCCCAACAGCUGCGCAACCCACCACCGCGCAGGCGCGCUGCGUGCCGCCAGCGCCAUGCGAAACCGACCCUCCCGUCUCGCGAGAGUGGGGCCGGCCGCCUUCGCAGUUCUCGCUCCGCCCCCCACUUCUUGCUCGUUCCCUCCCAUCCCCCCAAGCCAGUAGCUGUGCUGCGCAGCUCCCUAAGCGGUUGUCACCGCUGGAGACGGUUGGGAGAACCGUUGUGGCGAGCGCUACACGAGGCAAACGACUUCUCCCUUCUCUGAACUGGACCCCGCGAGCACCAGAGUCGGCGUAACUAUCGCCUGACAGGCAUUUAAAUCAAACGGUAUUGAGAUGGAUUGGGUUAUGAAACAUAAUGGUCCAAAUGACGCUAGUGAUGGGACAGUACGACUUCGUGGACUACCAUUUGGUUGCAGCAAAGAGGAAAUAGUUCAGUUCUUUCAAGGUACCUCUAGUAUUAGUCAAAGUUUAGUAGUAUUGUAAUUUUAUAUUUGUAUUGUUUUACUGUUUUUAAUUUGUAAAACCCAUUUGAUUUUGGAACUUUUAAGUUUAACUAUGAUAGUCUUGGUUAAUGUAUUAAAAUAAUAUGCUCCAGUUAUUCAAUACAGAAUGUGUAGAAUAUGUAAAACCUAAUUAAUGUGCAGUAACAUAUUUGAGAAUUGUGAUGAAAUGAACCGUGAAUUAGUAUAUGGAGCAUAUAUUUGAUUUUGUAGCCUUUUUUCAUGUAAUAUAGGUGGGCUUUUAGAGUGUGUAAUUACACAGUGUUUUUACACUGGUCGCAAAAAAUUUAUUUAAUCCAGUAAUAUUUGAAAAAAUCUUUCAUUUGUAUUAUGGGGUGAUGGGAAACUAAGCUUUUUUGUUUUGUUUUGUUUUGUUUAGACUUGUUUUAAAUAUUUGAUUCAGAUGGGAAUGUUUCAGCCUUUAACACUGUUCCCCUUGAUGGGGUUAUUUGUCCUUGGGUUAAAGGGUUGGAAAUCGUGCCAAAUGGGAUAACAUUGACGAUGGACUACCAGGGGAGAAGCACAGGGGAGGCCUUCGUGCAGUUUGCUUCAAAGGAGAUAGCAGAAAAUGCUCUGGGGAAACACAAGGAAAGAAUAGGGCACAGGUGGGGAUGGAGAGUUUGGGAUGGUGUUAAAUUUUUAUUUUUGGGGGUUGUGGGUCACUAUUGCUUAAAUGGGGGGGUAGCCAUAACAUUUUUCUGGGGUAGUUUAAAAGAAUUGAUAAUUAUCUAAAUUUAACUUGGAAACUACAGAUUUGGGUGGGGAAUUAAUGCUAAUAGUUAAAUUAAAAUUAGAUUGUUUCCAUUUCUCUGUAGGAUGUUGUUGAUAAAUGCUUUUGUAUAAUCACCUAUUUCCUUUAAAACACCUAUUAUGUACUAAAAGAGACAAAGUAAAAAUAUAUUUAUACUUUAUGAAUUGUUUUCCGUGACUAAUUUCUUUGUAAAACUUAAAUAUUUAAUUAAGUUUGUAGGUUUAAACUGUUAACUUACGGUGUAUUUAGGCAAUUUAAAUUGGGUUAUGUAUCUAGAUAUAGAAAAACUUACUGCAUUUUGUCCAGUAUCUAAUUUACACUAAUACAUUUAUGCUGAAACCUGUACCUUAAAACAUUUUUAAAUAGGUAUAUUGAGAUCUUCAGAAGUAGCAGGAGUGAAAUCAAAGGAUUUUAUGAUCCACCAAGAAGAUUGCUGGGACAGCGACCGGGACCAUAUGAUAGACCAAUAGGAGGAAGAGGGGGUUAUUAUGGAGCUGGGCGUGGAAGUAUGUAUGACAGAAUGCGACGAGGAGGUGAUGGAUAUGAUGGUGGUUAUGGAGGUUUUGAUGACUAUGGUGGCUAUAAUAAUUACGGCUAUGGGAAUGAUGGCUUUGAUGACAGAAUGAGAGAUGGAAGAGGUAUGGGAGGACAUGGCUAUGGUGGAGCUGGUGAUGCAAGUUCAGGUUUUCAUGGUGGUCAUUUCGUACAUAUGAGAGGGUUACCUUUUCGUGCAACUGAAAAUGACAUUGCUAAUUUCUUCUCACCACUAAAUCCAAUACGAGUUCAUAUUGAUAUUGGAGCUGAUGGCAGAGCCACAGGAGAAGCAGAUGUAGAGUUUGUGACACAUGAAGAUGCAGUAGCUGCCAUGUCUAAAGAUAAAAAUAACAUGCAACAUCGAUAUAUUGAACUCUUCUUGAAUUCUACUCCUGGAGGCGGCUCUGGCAUGGGAGGUUCUGGAAUGGGAGGCUAUGGAAGAGAUGGAAUGGGUAUGUAAAGUUUUUAAAAUAUGCAGGGUUAGCUGCUUAUCGAUGAGUCUCAAUUUUUUUUCUUUUUUCUUUUUAAAGAUAAUCAGGGAGGCUAUGGAUCAGUUGGAAGAAUGGGAAUGGGGAACAAUUACAGUGGAGGAUAUGGUACUCCUGAUGGUUUGGGUGGUUAUGGCCGUGGUGGUGGAGGCAGUGGAGGUUACUAUGGGCAAGGCGGCAUGAGUGGAGGUGGAUGGCGUGGGAUGUACUGAAAGCAAAAACACCAACAUACAAGUCUUGACAACAGCAUCUGGUCUACUAGACUUUCUUACAGAUUUAAUUUCUUUUGUAUUUUAAGAACUUUAUAAUGACUGAAGGAAUGUGUUUUCAAAAUAUUAUUUGGUAAAGCAACAGAUUGUGAUGGGAAAAUGUUUUCUGUAGGUUUAUUUGUUGCAUACUUUGACUUAAAAAUAAAUUUUUAUAUUCAAACC
rnacentral:sRNA from 1 species